rnacentral:rRNA from 1 species
GAUGAACGCUGACAGAAUGCUUAACACAUGCAAGUCAACUUGAACUUCGGUUUGGGUGGCGGACGGGUGAGUAACGCGUAAAGAACUUGCCUCACAGCUAGGGACAACAUUUGGAAACGAAUGCUAAUACCUGAUAUUAUGAUUAUAUGGCAUCGUAUAAUUAUGAAAGCUAUAUGCGCUGUGAGAGAGCUUUGCGUCCCAUUAGCUAGUUGGAGAGGUAACAGCUCACCAAGGCGAUGAUGGGUAGCCGGCCUGAGAGGGUGAUCGGCCACAAGGGGACGGAGACACGGCCCUUACUCCUACGGGAGGAAGCAGUGGGGAAUAUUGGACAAUGGACCGAGAGUCUGAUCCAGAAAUUCUGUGUGCACGAUGAAGUUUUUCGGAAUGUAAAGUGCUUUCAGUUGGGAAGAAAAAAAUGACGGUACCAACAGAAGAAGUGACGGCUAAAUACGUG